GGAAAGGCUCUUCGGGGGUACUCGAGCGGCGAACGGGUGACACGUGAGUAAUCUGCCCUUCACUUUGGGAUAACUACCGGAAACGGUGGCUAAUACCGGAUACGACACAGGUACGCAUGUGCUCUGUGUGGAAAGUUUUUUCGGUGGGGGAUGUGCUCGCGGCCUAUCAGCUUGUUGGUGGGGUAAUGGCCUACCAAGGCUUCGACGGGUAGCCGGCCUGAGAGGGUGACCGGCCACACUGGGACUGAGACACGGCCCAGACUCCUACGGGAGGCAGCAGUGGGGAAUAUUGGACAAUGGGCGGAAGCCUGAUCCAGCAACGCCGCUGAGGGAUGACGGCCUUCGGGUUGUAAACCUCUUUCAGUACCGACGAAGCGCCGAUGAUGGUGGUGACGGUAGGUACAGAAGAAGCACCGGCCAACUACGUGCCAGCAGCCGCGGUAAUACGUAGGGUGCGAGCGUUGUCCGGAAUUAUUGGGCGUAAAGGGCUCGUAGGCGGUUUGUCGCGUCGGGAGUGAAAACACUGGGCUUAACUCAGUGCUUGCUUUCAUACGGGGCAGACUAAGGCAUGCAGGGGAGAACGGAAUUCCUGGUGUAGCGGUGAAAUGCGCAGAUAUCAGGAGGAACACCGGUGGCGAAGGCGGUUCUCUGGGCAUGUCCUGACGCUGAGGAGCGAAAGUGUGGGGACAACAGGAUUAAUACCCUGGUAGUCCACACCCGUAAA
rnacentral:rRNA from 1 species